GGAAUUUGUAGCACUAUUCCCUAUAGUGUACUACUAGUCUUUCACUUGCAAGGCUGCGGGGGAAACCGGGCACCAGAACGAAUCAGUUGGAAGGGCUUUUGAUUUCCAUAGGUGGGCACGUUUUCUCACGGAACCCCCUAUGUGUGCCCACGCUUGCGUGUUCACAUUGUUUUUAAUGGAUGUAAUAGUAAAGACCAUAGGCAGCUGGACCUCUUCAGACCCCCAGAUGGUGACUCAACUCCCAAGACGAAAGAGGGAAACAGAGGGAGGUGGACCGAUAAAAGCAGGAAAGGGCGGAAGAAAUGAAAGGGACUGAAGUAAAGAGAGGGAGAGAGAGAUACAAUCAGUCCAUGAGUCCUUGGUGAGCAUCUCAAAUACACCAGGGGAGAGAAAACGCUAAGCAUUCCCGAGACAGUAACUACCAGUUUACCAGAGUCAUUUAAAAUGAUGAAGCAGAAAGGAACAUUGCUAACCAGCCUUGAAACACCAGCAGAGCCUCUGUGGCUGUUCAGGACUGUGAGGGUAACACUCUGUUCUAUUUCACAGAGAGAGAGAGAAUGUCUGAACUCCCUCUCACGGCAGGAGAUCGGCCAGUUAAAGAAUGAUUGGGAAAGAAUGGGGUGCUACAGUGGGAAGCAAAGGAGAGAGGGGUGGAACAUAACUCACACGGAAGAACAAUGGAGGAAGAGAAGAAUAUGAAAAAAACACCAGACUCCCUUUUAUGAAAAGUUUAAUUUAAUUGGGUAAUCUUCACAGAAUCCAGGUAUUUGUUCUCCACAUGGCGACUGCGGUAUUAAUGAAACGCAGACAGCUGAGUGAAUUAGUGUGUGGUGCUGAUAAUGAAUGAUGAGG
rnacentral:lncRNA from 1 species